UACGAAGGGGGCUAGCGUUGUUCGGAAUUACUGGGCGUAAAGGGCGCGUAGGCGGUGUGUCAAGUCAGGCGUGAAAGCCCCGGGCUCAACCUGGGAACAGCGCUUGAGACUGGCACGCUCGAGUUCGGGAGAGGAUGGUGGAAUUCCCAGUGUAGAGGUGAAAUUCGUAGGUAUUGGGAAGAACACCGAUGGCGAAGGCAGCCAUCUGGACCGACACUGACGCUGAGGCGCGAAAGCGUGGGGAGCAAACAGG
rnacentral:rRNA from 1 species